CCUGAAGUAUCUAGUACAUUAACAUGCAUUUUGACAUCAUUGUUGUUGCCAAUAUCAUGUAUGUAUGUAUGUGUUAUCAUUUCAUCUGAUAUGUUUGAAAUUCGUAGCUGAUCAAUUUUAUCUAGAUGAUGCUUGGAUGUUGCGAAGUUUCAGAAGUUACCCAGAUAGACUUGUGCAUCAUCUCUUUUCGGGUAAAAAAUGAUUUCCGGAAGCUGUUAAGCUUACAAUUUCUGAGAUUUCUUUUCUUGUAUAUAUGUUUCUGAUCUUUUUCUUGCACUUCGUUUUUACUUUGGUUCAACUGUUUAUGUGAUUGGUCUUGUUUAAUUGUUUCGAGCAUGAUACUCGUUUUGUUUGUAAUAUGUUGAAUGAUGAAUUGUGUUGUGAUGGAUGUGUUAUUCAGGUGUAUGACAACUCUUGGGAGCAAAUGCGUUGAAUGGUUGUGCUGAAUGCAGACUAGUUAUCUUCUUUGAUGAAUGGCUUGCAAAUUUACUGGAUACUUCUCUGCUUCUGCUCUGCAAUGCAGUUUGGUGAGUUUUAGCUGUUGGGAAUUAGUGAAAGUAGUCAAGAACUAUGAAACUUAUGAAAAAGCUCCAUAAUUGCAAGAGCUGUACAUUUGCCUUUGUGACUAUAUUGAAGCUUUUUCUCCAUUA
rnacentral:lncRNA from 1 species